AUCCAGCUGGUCAGUUCUAGAUAGGACGAAACGCGCGUCCUGGAU
rnacentral:hammerhead_ribozyme from 1 species